AAAAAGACAAACCCUGGUUUCCGUGUCCAACGUUUGACCAUCCGUCUUAUUUGAAAAAGUUAUGAAAAAAUUAAAAAAAUAAGUCAUGUAUAAAGUAUUAAUCAUGUUUUAUCAUCUAACAACAAUAAAAAUACUAAUUAUAAAAAAAAUUCAUAUAAGACGAACAGUCAAACGUUGGCACGGAAACCCAGGGUUUGCCUUUUU
rnacentral:pre_miRNA from 1 species